rnacentral:rRNA from 1 species
UACAGAGGGUGCAAGCGUUAAUCGGAAUUACUGGGCGUAAAGCGCGUGUAGGUGGUUUGUUAAGUUGAAUGUGAAAUCCCCGGGCUCAACCUGGGAACUGCAUCCAAAACUGGCAAGCUAGAGUAGGGCAGAGGGUGGUGGAAUUUCCUGUGUAGCGGUGAAAUGCGUAGAUAUAGGAAGGAACACCAGUGGCGAAGGCGACCACCUGGGCUCAUACUGACACUGAGGUGCGAAAGCGUGGGGAGCAAACAGG